GAGCCCAGUGGGAGCAGACUGGACGGCUGUCCCUCCCUGGCGGACUCCCGUCCUUGGUCGAUCGCAGCACCAGGAAUGUGACCCCAACUCCCCAGCCUGUUCGUCUCCCGGCACCGGUCCCUCGGGAGAUGGGGCCCGCGGCUCCCAGAACUACUGCCAGAGCCGGGGUCCAACCACGCAACGAUGUCUAGAGGGAGGUUUUCAGCGCAUUCCGGACCAGACCUGCGACCAACAUUCCUCUGGAGCGAAAACUUCGGAACCUGCAGCGGGCCGGGCGGAGCUCGAUUUCCUCCUCUGAGGUUAUAAUUGGAUAAAUCAAUUUGCAACCAUGAUCAUGAUGAAGAUGUCAUUUAAGUAUGAUAAGAGCUUUAUCAAAGAACAAGGUGUCUAAUCAGAAGAAAUACAUCAGACAAAUUCCAGUUGAAGAAUAUUAUACAAGAUACCUGACCAGCAUUCCUCAGAACUGUCAAGGUUGUUAUAAACAAGAGGAGGCUAAGGAAACACAGCGACUUAAAUGUAAUGUUGUAUCCUGAAUGGGAUUCUGGAACAGAAAAAGGACUUUAGGUAAUAACUAAUGAAAUCUGAAUAAAGCAUGGUUUUAAAUUAAUAAUGUAUUGAUAUUGGUUCAUUAAUUUUCAUAAAUGUACCCACCUUACAUUUAAUAAGUGUAAAAUAUUAAUCAUAGAGGAAACUGAGUGUGGAAUCUAUGGGAACUCUCUGAACUAUCUUUGUAAUUUUUCUGAUAAACUGUUCGAAAAAAUAAAA